UAAAUCUCUACAUUGUAUUCACCAGGACUGUGUGUGUGUGUGUGUGUUGUCGCUUCACACCGUAGAAAUACAUUUGAUCAGUUAUAAAAAAAACACAAUGUCUUACUAUACAAAUGCAUCUGCCGAAAGCUCUUCAAACGAAGAUCAUGAAACUGAAAGUAUAUCUAUCGCAAAACCUGCCAAAGUAAGCGGUAAUAAAAGAAAAAAUGAUUUAGAACCAAAAGCCAAUAUCAAAAAGACAAAGACCGCAGGAAAGGNCAC